CACAUGCACAAAUUCAAACAGUUCAGACCCAAAAAGAAGGUUGGUUGAUUUUCUGUACAGCAACAAUAUUUUUAAAAUAUGAAACAGUAUUUAAAAAAAAUAAAAAUGUUUUUAACGUAAGAAAGAUAUUUGCAGUUUCUCACACUCCUUUCUGAUAUUCUGGUUCUCAAAGUUCAGCGUGGAUCUGACGUGUCUUUGCGAUGUGAUGUCCGUCUUCUGUCUAAAUCCUCCACAUUGAACUGGGAGAAAGAUGGAGAACACACACCCAACAGCACUCUGAUGUACAACAACUCUGCCUACAUCAUCUUACACACCGUUGAUGAACGCAAUAAAGGGAAUUAUUACUGUAGAUUGAUGGAAGAUGGAAGCGUACAAACUGUUAGGAUUCACACACUUAAUGUUACUUCAAGUUAGUACUUUUACGUUAUUAUGUUAUUCUUACAUUUACAUUACAUUUACAUUUAAUCAUUUAGCAGACGACUCUGCCUACAUCAUCUUACACACCGCUGAUGAACGCAAUAAAGGGAAUUAUUACUGUAGAUUGAUGGAAGAUGGAAGCGUACAAACUGUUAGGAUUCACACACUUAAUGUUACUUCAAAUUUAUAUGGAAGUCAAACCAUUUACAGACAAAGCCCCUUUCACAUCUCACCUGUGAACUUCAAUUAUAGUGGGACAUACAGGUGUAUUACUGAAAACACAAUCUACACAACCACAAUACCAUGCACCAUUAGAGUGGAGCCCCCUGAUGGUGUGUUGAGGAGUCAGUCAGUGGUUCUUACCUGUGAGGUUUCUGAAGUAACUGAUUCAGUGACGCUGGUCUGGUUUAGGAUGGAGGGGAACAGAGGAGUGCUGGUCAAACAGCAAAUUAUGACUGAGAAAAACAACAUGUUACGUCUCACAGUGAAUCUAGCCAGCUAUGAAACAGACCCGCUGCACUGGCAGUGUUCCAGGAGAUGACAGCUGGUUUAAAACCAGUCAUGCAAGUUCAGAGGUGUUGGACAGCAGUACUACAGUCAUCUACUAUCAACUACUGAAGCACAGUGAGCCUUGACACUGGACAUUCUUGUACAAAACUUUGUAUUACUUUUAUUAUUAUUAUUAUUAUUAUAAUUAUUGAAUGUAGUUAAAAAGAGCAAAUAAAUCUUGUAUUAAUAAUAGCGAGCUAGUCAAUCUUGGUUUGCUUUUUUUGGUAUAUGAAUGAAAAUUUUGCUCUUUGCUCAAGUGCAUUAUUGGAGUGCUCAGUCUGUAAGCAAAGGGUCUUUGGGUUUCACUUGAAUAGGAAACACAAAUGCAUCACCAGCACUAUCUCUGAGUAUAAUCAGAUCAAUAUGCUCACAGAAAUAAACCUCAAUGUGGUUUCAUGACACACAACUGAGUUAAAUGUAGCACAGUAUUUCCUGUUAUGGAAAAAAAAACUAAGAUGAUUUAGCCUUGCAAAAACAUUUCAAGUAAGAAUGAAAAAAUAAAUAUAUUUUAAUUGCAAGCAUUUAAAAACCAUGAGAUAUUCAUGAAAAAAAAAUAAUAAUGAUUGCAUUGCAUAUGUGGACUCAAGUCUGUAAAAAGUAAUUUCUGUUCUCAUUUUGAGAUAUAAAAUGUUGUCAAGCACAUUUGAAAUGCUUCUGUUACCACACGUGCAUCAAUAAAUCUAAUAACAAUAACAGUUUCUUAUACCUCUUGUCUAACUACAAUCACCUCCGACACAUGAACACGAAAUUGGUUUUGAACACCUAUUUCAAAACCAUACUAAACUCAACACUAAACUGAAAACCUUUACCUUUUUUAAUUUUUAUUUUAUUUUUUAUUAUUAUUCUUUUAAAUAUUUUCUAGUUAUUAUUCUAAUCUUAUGCAAUGAAUUAGCUGCAUUUUUCUGGGCAAAUACAAUAGUUUGAUAUUUUUUGAAUGUUAACUUACUAUCACUGUGUAUUGUUUCCAUUUAACUAAAAAGCCUAAAGAAGGCUGUUUAAG
rnacentral:lncRNA from 1 species